GGGCGAUUGCUGAAAUUGGCAGACAGGCCAGACUUAGGAUCUGGUGUCGCAAGACGUGCGGGUUCGAGUCCCGCAUCGCCCACCA
rnacentral:tRNA from 1 species